UGGGGAAUAUUGGACAAUGGGCGCAAGCCUGAUCCAGCCAUGCCGCGUGAGUGAUGAAGGCCCUAGGGUUGUAAAGCUCUUUCACCGGUGAAGAUAAUGACGGUAACCGGAGAAGAAGCCCCGGCUAACUUCGUGCCAGCAGCCGCGGUAAUACGAAGGGGGCUAGCGUUGUUCGGAUUUACUGGGCGUAAAGCGCACGUAGGCGGACUAUUAAGUCAGGGGUGAAAUCCCGGGGCUCAACCCCGGAACUGCCUUUGAUACUGGUAGUCUUGAGUUCGAGAGAGGUGAGUGGAAUUCCGAGUGUAGAGGAGAAAUUCGUAGAUAUUCGGAGGAACACCAGUGGCGAAGGCGGCUCACUGGCUCGAUACUGACGCUGAGGUGCGAAAGCGUGGGGAGCAAACAGG
rnacentral:rRNA from 1 species